GACGGAGGAUGCAAGUGUUAUCCGGAAUCACUGGGCGUAAAGCGUCUGUAGGUGGUCAAAUAAGUCAACUGUUAAAUCUUGAGGCUCAACCUCAAAAUCGCAGUCGAAACUAUUCGACUAGAGUAUAGUAGGGGUAAAGGGAAUUUCCAGUGGAGCGGUGAAAUGCGUAGAGAUCGGAAAGAACACCAACGGCGAAAGCACUCUGCUGGGCCGACACUGACACUGAGAGACGAAAGCUAGGGGAGCGAAUGGG
rnacentral:rRNA from 1 species